GACGAACCGUGCGAACGUUGUUCGGAUUCACUGGGCUUAAAGGGCGCGUAGGCGGGUGAUCAAGUCCGGGGUGAAAUCCUUCAGCUCAACUGGAGAAUAGCCUUGGAUACUGGUCGCCUCGAGGGAGGUAGGGGCGGGCGGAACUUCCGGUGGAGCGGUGAAAUUCGUAGAUAUCGGGAGGAACACCGGUGGCGAAGGCGGCGACCUGGGUAGAUACUGACGCUGAGGCGCGAAAGCGUGGGGAGCAAACAGG
rnacentral:rRNA from 1 species